UGCGUAGGUGGCGAGCGUUGUCCGGAUUUACUGGGCGUAAAGGGAGCGUAGGCGGAUUUUUAAGUGAGAUGUGAAAUACUCGGGCUCAACUUGAGUGCUGCAUUUCAAACUGGAAGUCUAGAGUGCAGGAGAGGAGAAUGGAAUUCCUAGUGUAGCGGUGAAAUGCGUAGAGAUUAGGAAGAACACCAGUGGCGAAGGCGAUUCUCUGGACUGUAACUGACGCUGAGGCUCGAAAGCGUGGGGAGCAAACAGG
rnacentral:rRNA from 1 species